rnacentral:rRNA from 1 species
UACGUAGGGUCCGAGCGUUGUCCGGGAUUACUGGGCGUAAAGAGCUCGUAGGUGGUUUGUCGCGUUGUUCGUGAAAACUCACAGCUCAACUGUGGGCGUGCGGGCGAUACGGGCAGACUGGAGUACUGCAGGGGAGACUGGAAUUCCUGGUGUAGCGGUGGAAUGCGCAGAUAUCAGGAGGAACACCGGUGGCGAAGGCGGGUCUCUGGGCAGUAACUGACGCUGAGGAGCGAAAGCGUGGGGAGCGAACAGG